AUUGAACGCUGGCGGCAGGCUUAACACAUGCAAGUCGAACGAGUGGCGGACGGGUGAGUAAUGUCUGGGAAACUAGCUUAUGGAGCGGGCUAACAACGGUUAAUUGUAGCAAAUACCCCGUACCGUAGGAUGAGCCCAAGGGUGAUUAGGUAGUGGGUGAGGUAAAGGCUCACCAAGACGACGAUCCCUAGCUGGUCUGAGAGGAUGACCCACCACACGGGGACUGAUCCACGUCCCAGACACCGACGGGAGGCAACAGUGGAGAAUAUUGAGCAAGGGGGGCAACCUGACGCAGCCAUGCCGCGUGAGUGAAGAAGGCCUUCGAGUUGUAAAGUUCUUUCGGUAGCGAGGCGUUAACUACAGAAGAAGCACCGGCUAACUCCGUGCCAGCAGCCGCGGUAAUUC
rnacentral:rRNA from 1 species